AAAUUGGAAGAUGACGAUAUUGUUGCUUCCAUCCUCAAUGGCCUUGAUUCAGAUUACAAUGCCUUUGUCUCUUCUAUUAUGAGCAGGGAUCAAAUUACGUUGUCUGAUUUAUACGCUCAACUGCUUGCCUAUGAGG
rnacentral:snoRNA from 1 species